GGUUCAAGGAAGUUUCUCCUCAGACUGUGAUUUGGGUGGCAAACAGAGAGAUGCCAGUUACAAACUCAUCGGCGAGUCUCACGAUUGGCAGCGAUGGGAAUCUGAGGCUUCUGGAUGGGGAGCGGAACUCUUUCUGGUCGACUAAUAUUUCUGGCCAAUCGAAUGAUUCAAUUGCUGUACUUUCGGAUGACGGAAAGUUCAUUUUGAGGAACAGUAUAACAGGAGAGGAUCUAUGGGAUAGCUAUCAGCAUGCUACCAAUUCUUUGUUCCCAGGCACAUCAUGGUUGGCCUACAAUGAGACAUCUGGGGUGAGACUUACUCUCACUUCCUGGAAAAGUGACAACGAUCCUUCUAUUGGGGAUUUUACUUUAAGUGUACUACCACAGACACCUCCACAAGCCCUCGUUUGGAAGGGAUCGAAACCUCAUUGGAGAAGUGGGCCGUGGGACAAAACAACAUUGGGAUACCAGAAAUGGAAUCUGAUUAUCGAAGUGGAUUCACAUUCACAGAAGGUCUUCAGCCGGGAAUUGCUUAUAUCACUGUUAGUGUCCUCAGGAACUGCAAUUACUCGAUGUUUGUGAUUUCACCAACAGGAGUUUUAA
rnacentral:misc_RNA from 1 species